rnacentral:rRNA from 1 species
UAGGCGCACGGGUGAGUAACACGUGGAUAAUCUGCCUUUUUGUGGGGGAUAACCUGGGGAAACCUGGGCUAAUACCGCAUAAGCUCGAGAGAGGAAAGCCGCAAGGCGCCAUUGGAGGAGUCCGCGGCCGAUUAGCUAGUUGGUGAGGUAAGAGCUCACCAAGGCGACGAUCGGUAGCCGGCCUGAGAGGGCACACGGCCACACUGGCACUGAAACACGGGCCAG